UUUGUUGUUUUAUGCAUUUUUCAUUGUAUCUUACAUCAUCAUCCUUUUUUACUGCUUCUCGUUUAAAGUUUCAUCUAUGAUCUUGUUGAACUAAUUAACCUUGCUUCUUUAGUGUUAGCCAUAACCAAAGAGAUACUCUGAAGGGCCCUAAACUCCCUUUAAUUGGACAUAUGAUAUUAUAAGUAAAAGUCAUUGUUUACAAGGCAAGAAAAAGAACUUUAUACAAACUUAACCCAUUUGUAACAAUCCAAAUAGAAUCAAGAAGUCUAAGUAACUUAUGGCGCAAGUAAUCAACCCAGUUAAUGACCAAAAAAGAACAAUAUGUUAUACAAAGAUAACAGUGGCAUACUUAGAUCCAUAUUAGUUUUGAUUGUAAGCCUCAAGGCCUAACAAAGGCCCCACAAAGGCACCAUUCAAACUAAUAACAAACUCAUAUUGUAGUACACCAAGCAGCAGAGCUUGCACGACAGGCAAGACCUAGGGGAGUUGUGUGAGGGACAGAUCUAGCUUGAACGCCUGGUUGUUCAACCUAUAUAAACAUUUGUUUUCCUAUUUGGCUUUUCCAUUCACAUAAUCAGAGUCGCAAGGUUUCCCAUUUGCUAUUACAUAUAUACAUACAGAGUUUAUAUAUACAUACACACACACACACACACAUGUCAUCAUCAUCAUCAUCAUCACCAUCAUCAUGAGUUACAGUUCAAAAGAAAGCGGGAGUCCAUGCGGCACAGCAAACAGAAAACUCAAGGGGGUGUGCCAACAUAAAUAGGGCAAGUGGGUGUCUGAAAUCCGUGUUUCGGGGACCCAAGAUGGGCUUUGGUUAGGCUCAUUCUCCACGACAGAAGCGGGAGCUGUAGCUCGAGACGUUGCGUAUUAUUGCUUGCGUCGACCUUCCACGUUGGAGCUACCGUCUUGUGUGAGGGAUGAUAUAUCGCCCAAGUCGGUGCAGGAGGCAGCCUCAGAUGAUGGCAUGGCAGUUAAUGCUCAGUUGAUUGCCAACAAGUCACCGCCAUAGUAGCCAACUGGAAUUGGAAACUAUAUUGUUGAGACGAUUGAUUUUUGGGAAGAUGGUUAUGUUGGAGAGGGUUCUACUUCUUCUGAGCAGUUAGGAAUAAGGACAUGGAUUUGGCAAUGACGGUGCUCAUCAGGGGGGUUUGAGUAUUUCCAUUAAAGAUUAUGUUCUCCAAUUCUAAUUAUUUAGUGUCGUUGUCUGUCAAAUUUAUAUGAUUUUUUUUAUUAUAAUAGAUAUAAUGCUCUAAUUUAACUAAGAAAAUUAAGGGAAAUAAGUUGAAUAUGAGACAACAGUGGAAUUAAGAAAGAAAGUGUUAGCUAUCAGGCCCAUCCACCACUUAUAGUCAACUUAUAUGUGUUCAAGGUAAAGGUGGAAGGCCCUUUCGCACAGCUCCCCAGGGUGGAUGACACUUGGUAUGUUGUAGUCGGGCUCUUGCUACUUGGUGUACUAUAAGAUGAGUUCAUAGUUAGUUUGAAAAGUGCCUUUGUAGGGCCUUAGGUGUAGGCCUUAAGGCUCGCAAUCAAAACUAACAAAGUGCUAGGCGUUCCACUAUUAUCUCAUUAUAACAAAGUUGUGAUUUAAGUUGAUUACUUGCGCCCUAAGUUACUUAAAUUUCUUGUGAUCAAAAGAUUUUUCACAGAUGGGUUAAGUCUGCAUUAAAGUUCUUUUUCUUACCUUGUAAACGAGGACUUUUAGCUCAUAAUCUUGUAUGUUCAAAACAAAGGGAGUCCAAGGCCCUUUAAACCAUUUCCUUAUUUCCAGUUUAUCUUAAUGAGAUCAAGUUCAUUAACUUAACCAGAUUAGAAUGCAAAUGGACCUUCUUAAGUGAAAAACAGAUGGAAAUAACUUGAACAUAUACUAAAAAGUACAUUAACUGAUAGAUUUACUAAUUUAAAGUGCAAGCAAAGAGACUCAGGCAAGAUUUCACCUUGUUAGACAAGGUUGAACCCAUGGAAGAAAAUAUCGAUAAUAUCGGCGAUAUAUCGCCGAUAUUAUCGAAUUUUCGUUAACCCGAUAUUCUAAGUGGUAUCCAAGGGGUUUUCGUCAUAAUUUCGCGAUAAUAUCGAUAAUAUCGCGAUAUUAUCGAUAUUAUCGCGAUAUUAUCGAUAUUAUCGCUAAAUUAUCGGAACUGUGGAAGUCGGAGACGAACGCCCGAGCUUCUACAGCUCCGGCCGACUGUAAAACAACCCCUAGACUCCGAUCUAGGUAUGAACAUGAAAUAGAAGACGAGAGGAACAUUUUUAUAACGUCCGUUUGCCGUGAAACGGCCGGAGGUGUUCGGAAAGUACGACGACACCGACGGCCUCGCCGGAGAUGGGUGUGCCUAUCCCGAGUCGAUUUCAUCCCAAAAACCUUGCAAAAAGACGAGAUAUAACUUCAAUUUCACAUCUAAGCUUCGAUCUAGAACAUAAAAAGAAAAACCCGAAGCUUACCUAACCGGAGAAAUUGAAGGAACUCGCCGGAGCAGGUGCGAUGGUGUGCAUGUAGGUCUCGGUACAGAGAGAAAGGAGAGGUGUAGGUGGGUCUCGAUGCAGAGAGAAAGGAGAGGUCUCGGUGCAGAGAGAAAGGAGAGGUGUAGGUGGGUCUCGGUGCAGAGAGAAAGGAGAGGUGUAAGGGAAAAGUUGAUGGUUUUAAUUGUCAAAACCAUGGGCACUGAUGGUUUUGAUGGACUGGGAAGGAUCUCAAAUAUAUAUUUUAUAU
rnacentral:lncRNA from 1 species